AUGCUCCAGCUGGCGCGCGCUCUCGUCGCGCGCGGCGUCACGGCCACCGUUGCCGUGCCAGACUUCGUCCACCGCCGCAUGGGCAGCGUCGACGUCGUCGGUGGCGUGGCGCUCGCGUCGAUCCCAAGCGGCAUCCCGGACGACGAUGAAGAGCCACCGGGAUUCGCCAGCAUCGCGCACGCCAUGGAGCACCACAUGCCCGCGCACCUGGAGCAGAUGCUAGCGCGGCGGGAGGCUCCUGGCGCCAGGGGUGCCGUGUGCCUCAUCGUUGACGUCCUCGCGUCGUGGGCCGUCCCCGUGGCCUCCCGGUGCGGCGUGCCAGUCGUCGGGUUUUGGCCGGCGAUGCUGGCGACUUUCGGCGUCGUGGCUGCUAUCCCGGAGCUUCUUAGCAAGGGGUUCAUCUCCGAUUGCGGUAGUCCCAUCUCGACGGAAGGAGUCAACAAAGACGAAGCAAAAGCAGACCUCCAGAUCGCAAACAACCUCCGCGUGGUGCCCGAAGACUUGCAACUUGGCACCAAAGAGCUGCUGCCAUGGCUCGUCGGCUGCGCGGCAUCGCAGAGAUCAAGAUUCGCCUUCUGGCUCCAGAUCCUACAGCGCGCCAAGAGCUUCCGCUGCCUCCUGGUCAACUCCUUCCCGGGCGAAGCAGCCGACGAAGGCUCCGGCCACCACGGCACACCACGGGGCCUCCGAAUUCUCCAGGUCGGACCACUGCUAACCGACGGACUACUUGACAAUCCGCACGAGUUGCCAGCAGAGAACCCUAGCAUGUGGCAGGCAGAUGGAUCGUGCAUGGAUUGGCUUGACCAGCAACGUGCAGGAUCAGUGAUCUACGUGUCUUUCGGGAGCUGGGUCACGCCGAUCGGGCCGGUGAAGAUCAGCGAGCUGGCGCACGGCCUCGAGGCCACCGGGAGGCCGUUCCUGUGGGUUUUGAAGAGCGAUCCUUCGUGCCGAGCCGGCCUCCCCAGCGGUUACCUGGAGACGGUGGCCGGCCAUGGCAAGGUCGUCUCCUGGGCGCCUCAGGGAGGCGUUCUUGCGCACGAGGCCGUCGGGUGCUACCUCACCCACUGCGGAUGGAACUCCACUCUCGAGGCGAUACAGCACGGGGUCCGUCUCCUGUGCUACCCGGUCUCCGGUGACCAGUUCAUCAACUCUGCCUUCAUCGUCAAGAUGUGGGAAAUAGGGAUCAGGCUCCGGCGCACUGGCAGAGGCGACGUGAAAGAUUAUAUCGAUCGAAUCUUGGAAGGAGAAGAUGGAAGACGGUUGCAGGAGAAGAUGAAUGAGUUGAGGGAGAGGGUUGCGGUGGGUGAGGCAAGGUUUGUAGCCAAGAAGAACCUCAAGGCCUUUGUUGAUGGAAUUAAGAGAGAUGACCUUGCUCCAGGGCAUCUAGCCACAUAA
rnacentral:rRNA from 1 species